rnacentral:rRNA from 1 species
GAUGAACGCUGGCGGCGUGCCUAAUACAUGCAAGUCGAGCGAACAGACGAGGAGCUUGCUCCUCUGACGUUAGCGGCGGACGGGUGAGUAACACGUGGAUAACCUACCUAUAAGACUGGGAUAACUUCGGGAAACCGGAGCUAAUACCGGAUAAUAUAUUGAACCGCAUGGUUCAAUAGUGAAAGACGGUUUUGCUGUCACUUAUAGAUGGAUCCGCGCCGCAUUAGCUAGUUGGUAAGGUAACGGCUUACCAAGGCAACGAUGCGUAGCCGACCUGAGAGGGUGAUCGGCCACACUGGAACUGAGACACGGUCCAGACUCCUACGGGAGGCAGCAGUAGGGAAUCUUCCUCAAUGGGCGAAAGCCUGACGGAGCAACGCCGCGUGAGUGAUGAAGGUCUUCGGAUCGUAAAACUCUGCUAUUAGGGAAGAACAAAUGUGUAAGUAACUAUGCACGUCUUGACGGUACCUAAUCAGAAAGCCACGGCUAACUACGUG